rnacentral:lncRNA from 1 species
GAAGUAGGCACCCUUCUCCCAGGUUCUCCCUCUGAAUACAGCUGUGAAAUCUGGAUUAAAUGCAUAGAACAGCAAUUUGAUGACUCGGAAAUGUAAUUGGUGGCAAGCAGAUUGGAGAUGACCAGAACUGAAAUAUCAUCAGUCUGACAGUUUGCUAUGUUUCACCCUCCAGAGGUAAACACUGCUUAGCCUUGGACAGGAGUAUAGCCACAGAAGUGUGUGGCAAGCUGCAGUAACUAAAGGCCCAGAAAUAGAGGAUUGAAAAGGGGAGUCCCAAGGAACAUACUGAGCGGAUUGGGGAGAAGGAGGAGCCAGGCUCUGGGAGUAGUUGUUUAGUCUCCAGGGGUAGCCCGCAGCUGAGUCAAGCCGAGUUUCUACUGCAUGCUUCAUGUGAUUGCAGACCCAGUCAGUGUGCCCAGGUGGGGCCUGGAGAAGGAGGACGGGGAAGGAACGGGCCAGCCUGCACCUUUAUCAUUUUCCUUGAUCCUGUGCCCCAGCUGAGGAACUCCCCAGCCUGUGCCGAGAAUACGUUCCUCGAGGACCACUUUUCAAACAGCCCUGUAGAGGGCGCGGUUUCCUCGUCCCAGAGGCUUCCAGGGUUCAGGCAGGCUCUGAAGGCUUUUCCAUCCGUCUGAUAAUCUCUUCGAAGCACUGAGGAAGCACCGUGGGGAGUAUCAAGAAGCACAGGAGGGCCUCCUCGGACUGUGAGAAACUCCGGGCAUAGUUCUAGGGAAGAAGACAAAGACAUGGACCUGUUGCAGUGGUUCCAAGACAUAUUCAAGUUCACGGCCAAGGCAGCCUGCAGAUUCUGGAUGCUUAGGAAUUCAGAAGAGGUCUGGACUGGUCCCAACAGUCUCUAAGGAAGGUGUCAAAGAGGUGAUGGCAUUGGGAGCAGACCUUAAUGGAUGAGAUGAUUUGGGGACUAACGCCAAGACAAGCAGAUGCAGAAGAUGGCAAGGUCUUGUUAAAGCCUCUUGUUUUUAAAUUAAAAUUAAAAUUCAACAUAUUUGAAUUGUUUACUUUUAAAUGGCUAAUUUUUAUUAUGUGACUUUUGCCUCAAUUAAAAACUACAUGAGAUAGC